CCUGCUGUAGUGAAACACACACAUGCACAAUGAUUCUUCAUUCAGUCAUUCUGCUUUCUGCCUUGACAUGUGUGAGUUUUGGAGAUGAAAUCACACCAGAUAGUACUGAGGAAUCUGCUGCAGUGGGUUCAACUGUUACUUUAUCCUGCAGUUAUUCCUCUGCACACUCACUUCAAUGGUACCGUCAGCAUCCCGGAUCAGCUCCUCAAUUUCAUGUGCUCAUAAUAGAGAGUGUGAAAGAGACUAAGACAUCUGAUGUAGAUCCCAGGUUCUCUACUAAGCUCAGAAAAGAAAAACAAUCCACAAAAGAGAUCAACCGUGUGGAUCUGAUCAUCUCCUCUGCUGCAGUAUCAGACUCUGCUCUGUAUUACUGUGCUCUGAGGCCCACAGUCACAGGAAACACAAGAACACUGUACAAAAACCUGACAUAACUCUACCGUCUACUAAUCAGAC